rnacentral:rRNA from 1 species
AAUACGUUCCCGGGCCUUGUACACACCGCCCGUCAAGCCAUGGAAGCUGGGGGUACCUGAAGUCGGUGACCGCAAGGAGCUGCCUAGGGUAAACUAGUAACUGGGGCU